rnacentral:rRNA from 1 species
GGUUUAGUCCCUUGGAACAGGGUGUCAGAGAGGGUGAGAGUCCCGUCUUUAAUCGUGUACCGCGUCCAUGUGAAGCUCCUUCGACGAGUCGGGUUGUUUGGGAAUGCAGCUCAAAAUGGGUGGUAAAUUUCAUCUAAAGCUAAAUACCGGCCAGAGACCGAUAGCGCACAAGUAGAGUGAUCGAAAGAUGAAAAGCACUUUGAAAAGAGAGUUAAACAGCAUGUGAAAUUGUUGAAAGGGAAGCGCUUGCAACCAGACUUGUGGGCAGCAGUUCAGCCGUUAUUCUUAACGGUGCACUCUGCUGUUUCCAGGCCAGCAUCGGUUCGGGUAGUUAGUUAAAGGCCAGGGGAAUGUAUCUGCCCUUCGGGACAGACUUAUAGCCCUUGGUGGCAUCUGGCUUACCUGGACCGAGGAACGCGCUUCGGCACGGAUGCUGGCGUAAUGGUUGUAAGCGGCCCGUCUUGAAACACGGACCAAGGAGUCUAACAUCUAUGCGAGUGUUUGGGUGUCAAACCCCUACGCGUAAUGAAAGUGAACGGAGGUAGGAGCCUUUGGGCGCACUAUCGACCGAUCCUGAUGUCUUCGGAUGGAUUUGAGUAAGAGCAUAGCUGUUGGGACCCGAAAGAUGGUGAACUAUGCCUGAAUAGGGUGAAGCCAGAGGAAACUCUGGUGGAGGCUCGCAGCGGUUCUGACGUGCAAAUCGAUCGUCAAAUUUGGGUAUAGGGGCGAAAGACUAAUCGAACCAUCUGGUAGCUGGUUCCUGCCGAAGUUUCCCUCAGGAUAGCAGUAACGUUUUCAGUUUUAUGAGGUAAAGCAAUGAUUAGCGGCCUUGGGGAAGUAACUUCCUUAACCGAUUCUCAAACUU